GACGAACGCUGGCGGCGUGCUUAACACAUGCAAGUCGAACGGAAAGGCCCUGCUUGCAGGGUACUCGAGUGGCGAACGGGUGAGUAACACGUGGGUGAUCUGCCCUGCACUUCGGGAUAAGCCUGGUAAACUGGGUCUAAUACCGGAUAGGAGCCAUUUUUAGUGUGAUGGUUGGAAAGUUUUUUCGGUGUAGGAUGAGCUCGCGGCCUAUCAGCUUGUUGGUGGGGUAAUGGCCUACCAAGGCGGCGACGGGUAGCCGGCCUGAGAGGGUGGACGGCCACAGUGGGACUGAGAUACGGCCCAGACUCCUACGGGAGGCAGCAGUGGGGAAUAUUGCACAAUGGGCGCAAGCCUGAUGCAGCGACGCCGCGUGGGGGAUGACGGCCUUCGGGUUGUAAACUCCUUUCGCUAGGGACGAAGCUUUUUGUGACGGUACCUAGAUAAGAAGCACCGGCUAACUACGUG
rnacentral:rRNA from 1 species